rnacentral:rRNA from 1 species
AUUGAACGCUGGCGGCAUGCCUUACACAUGCAAGUCGAACGGCAGCACGGGAGCAAUCCUGGUGGCGAGUGGCGAACGGGUGAGUAAUAUAUCGGAACGUGCCCAGUAGUGGGGGAUAGCCCGGCGAAAGCCGGAUUAAUACCGCAUACGACCUGAGGGUGAAAGCGGGGGAUCGCAAGACCUCGCGCUAUUGGAGCGGCCGAUAUCAGAUUAGCUAGUUGGUGGGGUAAAGGCCUACCAAGGCUACGAUCUGUAGUUGGUCUGAGAGGACGACCAGCCACACUGGGACUGAGACACGGCCCAGACUCCUACGGGAGGCAGCAGUGGGGAAUUUUGGACAAUGGGCGCAAGGCCUGAUCCAGCAAUGCCGCGUGCAGGAAGACGGCCCUAUGGGUUGUAAACUGCUUUUCCAGGGAGAGAAACUUACGCACGUGUUGCGUGACUGACGGUACCCUGGGAAUAAGCAUCGGCUAACUCCGUGCCAGCAG